UACAGAGGGUGCAAGCGUUAAUCGGAAUUACUGGGCGUAAAGCGUGCGUAGACGGUAGCGUAAGUCGGGUGUGAAAGCCCCGGGCUCAACCUGGGAAUUGCAUUCGAGACUGCUCUGCUAGGGUGCGGAAGAGGGAAGCGGAAUUUCCGGUGUAGCGGUGAAAUGCGUAGAUAUCGGAAGGAGCACCAGUGGCGAAAGCGGCUUCCUGGUCCAGCACCGACGUUCAGGCACGAAAGCGUGGGGAGCAAACAGG
rnacentral:rRNA from 1 species